UACGUAGGGUGCGAGCGUUGUCCGGAAUUAUUGGGCGUAAAGAGCUUGUAGGCGGUUUGUCGCGUCUGCCGUGAAAAUCCGAGGCUCAACCUCGGACUUGCGGUGGGUACGGGCAGACUAGAGUGUGGUAGGGGAGACUGGAAUUCCUGGUGUAGCGGUGAAAUGCGCAGAUAUCAGGAGGAACACCGAUGGCGAAGGCAGGUCUCUGGGCCACUACUGACGCUGAGACGCGAAAGCGUGGGUAGCAAACAGG
rnacentral:rRNA from 1 species